rnacentral:rRNA from 1 species
AGUCGAGCGACAGAUAAGGAGCUUGCUCCUUUGACGUUAGCGGCGGACGGGUGAGUAACACGUGGGUAACCUACCUAUAAGACUGGAAUAACUCCGGGAAACCGGGGCUAAUGCCGGAUAACAUUUAGAACCGCAUGGUUCUAAAGUGAAAGAUGGUUUUGCUAUCACUUAUAGAUGGACCCGCGCCGUAUUAGCUAGUUGGUAAGGUAACGGCUUACCAAGGCAACGAUACGUAGCCGACCUGAGAGGGUGAUCGGCCACACUGGAACUGAGACACGGUCCAGACUCCUACGGGAGGCAGCAGUAGGGAAUCUUCCGCAAUGGGCGAAAGCCUGACGGAGCAACGCCGCGUGAGUGAUGAAGGUCUUCGGAUCGUAAAACUCUGUUAUUAGGGAAGAACAAAUGUGUAAGUAACUAUGCACGUCUUGACGGUACCUAAUCAGAAAGCCACGGCUAACUACGUGCCAGCAGCCGCGGUAAUACGUAGGUGGCAAGCGUUAUCCGGAAUUAUUGGGCGUAAAGCGCGCGUAGGCGGUUUCUUAAGUCUGAUGUGAAAGCCCACGGCUCAACCGUGGAGGGUCAUUGGAAACUGGGAAACUUGAGUGCAGAAGAGGAAAGUGGAAUUCCAUGUGUAGCGGUGAAAUGCGCAGAGAUAUGGAGGAACACCAGUGGCGAAGGCGACUUUCUGGUCUGUAACUGACGCUGAUGUGCGAAAGCGUGGGGAUCAAACAGGAUUAGAUACCCUGGUAGUCCACGCCGUAAACGAUGAGUGCUAAGUGUUAGGGGGUUUCCGCCCCUUAGUGCUGCAGCUAACGCAUUAAGCACUCCGCCUGGGGAGUACGACCGCAAGGUUGAAACUCAAAGGAAUUGACGGGACCCGCACAAGCGGUGGAGCAUGUGGUUUAAUUCAAAGCAACGCGAAGAAC